rnacentral:rRNA from 1 species
AUUGAACGCUGGCGGCAUGCCUUACACAUGCAAGUCGAACGGCAGCACGGGAGCAAUCCUGGUGGCGAGUGGCGAACGGGUGAGUAAUAUAUCGGAACGUGCCCAGUCGUGGGGGAUAACGUAGCGAAAGCUACGCUAAUACCGCAUACGAUCUAUGGAUGAAAGCGGGGGAUCGCAAGACCUCGCGCGAUUGGAGCGGCCGAUAUCAGAUUAGGUAGUUGGUGGGGUAAAAGCCUACCAAGCCUUCGAUCUGUAGCUGGUCUGAGAGGACGACCAGCCACACUGGAACUGAGACACGGUCCAGACUCCUACGGGAGGCAGCAGUGGGGAAUUUUGGACAAUGGGCGAAAGCCUGAUCCAGCCAUGCCGCGUGCAGGAAGAAGGCCUCGGUUGUAACUAGCUUAGUCUAGGAAAAGGGUAGGCGAGGUUAAGUAACCUCGUGCUUUGUAUGGUACUGGAAGAAUAAGACACCGGCUAACUACGUAGCCAGCA